GGGCAGCCAUCGCCGAGUCCCCGUACGGCGCGAGCCAGGGGAGCCGGGGACCCACAUGUCCCUUGGGGUGAAUCGGGCGCCUCUCCGGAGGAACCCGUAGGAGACCUUCCUGCUCCGAACCCGUCAGCUAACCCGGUAGGCGAGAAGGAAGGAAAGG
rfam:Streptomyces sp. 769, complete genome.